GUUUAAUAAUUUAAUAUUUAUUAAUUUUAGGUAUUUAUAUUUAAUAGAUUUAUAAUUAUUUGAUUGGGGUGAUUAGAAAAUUUAGAUAACUUUUGUUUUAUUUAAACAUUAAUUUAUGAUUAAUUGAUCCAUUAUUAGUGAUUAUAAGAUUAAAU
rnacentral:rRNA from 1 species